rnacentral:rRNA from 1 species
ACGGAGGGGGCGAACGUUGUUCGGAUUUACUGGGCGUAAAGGGUGCGUAGGCGGUUCGGUUAGUCUGGUGUGAAAAUCCGUCGCUUAACGACGGAAACGCAUCGGAAACUGCCGAGCUCGAGUAUGGGAGAGGCAGGUGGAAUUCCCGGUGUAGCGGUGGAAUGCGUAGAGAUCGGGAAGAACACUCGUGGCGAAGGCGGCCUGCUGGCCCAUUACUGACGCUGAGGCACGAAAGCCAGGGGAGCAAACGG